CACGACAACUAACGACAAGAGGCUUCAGAGCACCUUGAAAAGAGUAGGAGGGAACACCAUUCCUGGUAUUGAGGAGGUCUACAUUUUCAAGAAUGAUGUAGUUAUUCAAUGAUUUUUCCUUGCUACGGGGAUUUUCUGGGCAUGAUUAUGGGCGAGUGGAGAUUUUCUGGGCGAUUGAAUGAUUUUUCCUUGCUACGGGGGUGGUGGGAGGACGAUGGAAAUUCUUUUUUCGUACGACGUUUUUUUCGCUCGUUCGCUGGGUUGGACGAUGUACGAAGGGAGGUGACGUACGGACAACUGAGGCUUAAGGAAUAGUAAAGAUAGUAGUUCCGUGUGUGUGGCUGUGUGCAAGAAAUGCCCAAUGAGAAUGGCAGCAACAAAUUUAAGUAAACCUGUUUGCUACUCCCUCCGAUCCAUAAUAAUUGUCUCAAACUUAGUACAAGUUGAUCUGAGACACUUAUUAUGGAUCGGAGGGAGUACACUAUUAGCUUAACAGAAUUCAGUAUGUAAUCGAAACGGUGUAUCUCAUAGUUAAGGAAACCUGUUUGUUACAACUAGAUAGUUUGGUGCCUGAGAGUUACAACUUACAAGUGCAUUUUCAUAUCUGUAUAUCGCGAUCUGGUUUACAUUGCAGAAAGCUGAAUCUAAAUAAUAAUGACCACUAAAGAUUUGGAUGCACAGAGCAUGACGAAAAUAAGCAAGGUUUUUGAGUUUCAUACUACUGUUUUUAGCAAGGAAAAAAAGAGCAAAUGACUUUGCCUUACUACACUACAAUCAUGCAGCCUGCGGUUCAUCUUUGAUUAACAGUUUACUAUGCAUGACCUAUAGAAACAUUCAUUAUAAAAUGAUUCUGUUACCUUUGGUUUAUUUCUAUUUGGUGACUUAUUUUAAUCUUUGUUUAUGUCUGUACUUUCACAGUUUUUUCAACCUCCCCAAUUUGGCCGCCUCCAUAUAUAGCGUGGAGCUCUCGAAUAGGCUGCAUGUCCCCUACUGGUCCUUCAUCCCCUGUUCCAGAUUUGGUGAUUGCUGCCAUAUAUUUUCAGAAGGAUCUUUCUACGUGGAACAUUUGGUUAGGAUCCUUGUUGAUCGGCA
rnacentral:lncRNA from 1 species